rnacentral:rRNA from 1 species
GACGAACGCUGGCGGCGUGCCUAACACAUGCAAGUAGAACGCAGCUGAGAACGGGCGAGUAAAGCGUAGGUAACUGCCUGGUACCGGGGGAGAACAAUUGGAAAAGAUAGCUAAUACCACAUACUAACAGAUGGACCUGCGUUUAAUUAGCUAGUUGGGGUGGUAACGGCUCACCAAGGCAACGAUACAUAGCCGACCUGAGAGGGGGCUCGGCCACACUGUGACUUAGACACGGCCCAGACGCCUACGGGAGGCAGCAGUAGGGAAUCUUCGGCAAUGGACGGAAGUCUGACCGAGCAACGCCGAGUGAGUGAAGAAGGUUUUCGGAUCGUAAAGCUCUGUGGUAAGAGAAGCGGUAUCUUACCAGGAAGGGACGGCUAACUACGUGCCAGCAGCCGCGGUAAUUC